GACGAACGCUGGCGGCGUGCUUAACACAUGCAAGUCGAACGGAAAGGCCCCUUUGGGGGUCCUCGAGUGGCGAACGGGUGAGUAACACGUGAGUAACCUGCCCUUGACUUCGGGAUAACUUCAGGAAACUGGGGCUAAUACCGGAUAGGAAUCCUUGCUGCAUGGUGGGGGUUGGAAAGCUUCGGCGGUUUUGGAUGGACUCGCGGCUUAUCAGCUUGUUGGUGGGGUAGUGGCUUACCAAGGCUUUGACGGGUAGCCGGCCUGAGAGGGCGACCGGCCACAUUGGGACUGAGAUACGGCCCAGACUCCUACGGGAGGCAGCAGGGGGGAAUAUUGCACAAUGGGCGGAAGCCGGAUGCAGCAACGCCGCGUGCGGGAGGACGGCCUUCGGGUUGUAAACCGCUUUCAGCAGGGGCGAAGCUUGUGGUGACGGUACCUGCAGAAGAAGCACCGGCUAACUACGUG
rnacentral:rRNA from 1 species